CAGGGCCAGUGAUUUGGGGAUGAGGAGGGGAAAAGAGGGUAUCCCAAGCAGGCUGGACUAUAUGAUAAAGAGCCGGGAAGUUCAUCCUAGGCACAGUGAAGAAAUGAACAUAUCAGAAAUGGCAGCUGAACAACAGCAGCCAUUUGUGACAUCACGGAGUGAAAUGGGACAUUAUUCUCUGAGCCAGUUUCUUUAGCUCAAACCCACAGAAGAAAAUGCAGACACCAGCACCCUGAACAGCCUCAAGUGCUUCACUGAGAUAAAAGCCCACAGAGCACCCAGACUCAGGACCUCUGAUGAUGCACAGCAGCUGAGAGGCUAACCUGAGAUGUGCUGCUGUGGAUAAAAGCCCUGAAAUGCUUCCUCCCCCUCAUCUUUCCUGUCAUCUACUGCAGCCAUUCACACUGACAGGACAACCUCAUGACAGAGCUUUCUAGAGCCCAGAUCCUCCGAGAGCACCUCCUCUCUGCCACGCUCCGUGCUAGGCCCUUGAACUGACAUUCCAGAGACCAAGGCCAAAUGUUGAAAAGCUGCUCCCCAAGUCCCUCGGAACCUCUCUGCAUUCCCUGAGCUGUGUCACGGCUCAGACUGUGACAGAGCAUCUCCCAGAGCCCCAUGCAGUGAUUCACAGAAGCGGUGGGUGUCUAGAGAAGCCAGCAGGAAUCUAAAAAGACCUAAGGCCACAUGGGGUUGUCAGAGGUGUGUUGAGGCAGACGAAGCUCUGGGGUCCCUUUCGGGAGCUGUCUCAACUGUGGUGUCUUCAGUCAAAAGUGGGAUGACAUCACCACAUCUUAAAUGUGGGGAGAUUAAAUAAGAUGAUUGGUAUAAAGCCUAGCACAUCAUGGGUGCCCAAUGCAUGUUGGUUCUCUCCUCAUCUCCUUUUUUCUCCCAAAUCAUAGACUUACUAUGUCAGUAUCAGCACAGAUCUAGAACAAUGAACAAAGUACAAAGAACAACAAGAACCCAUUAAGUGUUUUUCACCUUGAAUAAUGUGGGUGGAGGACAAGGGAGACUGACAUAUUACUGAAGAGAAAUAAGAUGAAUGGACACUAAACGUCACUUAUCUGGACUGACAGUAGUAGCCCAUUCACACAUUUCUCCAAAAAGGACUAGUUGUAUUAGAUGCACAGCUCUUCCUUCUAUCCCCUUUUCAAAAGAAAAGAAGAAAGGCUUAACAAUUCUAGAUGGAGGCGAUCAAAAUCUGCCUUUACUGCUUAUCUUGAUGACUUCGUGCAUAUUCCUCAUCGUCCAAUGAAUAUUAUUUUAUACAGAUGUGAACAUCUGGCUCCAACUAUCAAAACAAGCCUGCUGCCACUUGGGAGUUAAAACAUGCAGGCUCUGGGCUUUCUGCAGAAAGGACUUUUUAAAAAUUGUAAGAUGCUUCCAUGAGGCAGGGCUGUGCGUGCCUGUGUGGUCUGUGAGCAGGCUGGCAAUGGGAGGGCUCCCCCUCACAGAAACCCCCAGAGCACAAUCUUGAGAAACACAUGGCGAGGCAGCCAGGCAUGGGGAUUUUCCAGUCUGCCCUUCCCCACCCUGCCUGUGACAACUCAGCUCAUGCAUCAGGCAACAAAUCCCAUUCAUGAAGCUGUCAGUGAUUCCUGAAUCCAUUGAGAGCCUCGGAACCCAUCUUGCCAAGGUUCAACAGUGGGUUAAUCCCAGCUCACCUAAAUUAUUGUUUCCUGAACACAAAGGAACAUGAAAUUCUGUGCUGGGGCUGUAUGUCAGCACAGUUAAGUAGAAAUAUAUCCGACCUCAAAUGAGAGGGAAUAUAUGACUAUAUGAGCACCUGGGGAGCUGUGCUUCUCCCUCCAGCCCAAGGCUUCCUUUUACUGCUACCCCCAGGGCAUCCAGAGGCAGAGAUGGGACCACAAAAACCUGUUCUGUAAACAACUGAAUCUCAGAAGGGUCAGUUUUAUUUUUUUCAUGCUCCCCUUUUAAAAUCCACAACUGUAGGAUGUAUGCUAUCUUCCUCUUCUACCAUGGAGACAGCCACCAGUAGGGUAGGGUGAGGAGGGAGGACGUUCCUGUAUUCGGGCCAUCAAUUUAGAAAGCACAUGAGGUUACAGUGUCACUUCAUGAGGCACAACUCUGCAAGGACCAGUUCCAUAGCACAGUGAGAUUAAUUUGCAUAUUAUAAUCUGUGCAUAAUCUUUACCUGCAGUAAUUACAGUCCAUAGGCUCUAGACAUAAAGAAACAUGCAUUUUAUAAUAGUACUGGAUUAAUUAAAAAAAACUCAGGAGUUAACAUUUAGCUCACAAAUUGGAGAAAAUAUUAAAUUCACUGAGAAAUAGGCACACCAUAAGGCUGUAAAAUGGUCCAUUAUAAUCUCACUUUUACAGAAAAAUCAUCUGUAAUGUGAGAGUGCCGAGUGCAAGACCUCAGCAUAAAUCUACAAAAGAAACGCUACUCUUCCAGACUCAGAAGGAGAGAAGGGAAUAAAAAUCACAUCAGCAAUGUAUAUUGCUCCCAGAUUACAAAAUUAGGUUUUAUAGGGAAAAAUUCAGCCUGUAGUAAUGGUCAGUAAAAAUGACCAGUUUUAUAGAACAGGAACUUGUAGAGAUAAAGGGGAAAAGGCAGCAGGAAAAAAAUUAAAGACUUCCACAGAAACCUGUCCAGAAAUAGAAAUUCAAAGGACUUCCUGCUCUUUAAUAGAAUAAGCUCAGUUGAGAUGAAGUAAAAUUAUGGAUGAAGCAAGGCACGUUAUUUGACCAAACUAAGAUUUUUUUUUUAAUAGUCAUUCAAGAAAGAGCAAAAACCACUACAAUUAUCUACCAUGGAUAGAGGUUGUUCAGAGCUGGUAAAGUAAUUGAAACUGUGGCCACUCACUAAGCGCAGUGGCUCAUGUCUAUAAUGCCAGCACUUUGGGAGGCUGAGGUGAACAGAUCACCUGAGCCCAGGAGUUCAAGACCAGCCUGGCCAAAAUGGUGAAACUCCAUCUCUACAAAAAUACAAAAAUUAGCUGAGUGUGUGGUGUACACCUGUAAUCCCAGCUACUCUGGAGGCUGAGGCACUAGAGUCAUUUGAACCCAGGAGGCAAAAGUUGCAGUGAGCCUUGAUUGCAUCAGCCUGGGAAACAGAGCAAGACUCCAUCUCAAAAAACGAACAAAAAACCUGUUGCCAGAAGCUCACCAUCUUGCAUGCUAUGAUUCGUAGCAAUGGGUAGGCGCAGCUAAAUAUAGCUAAGGCUGUAUUUCAAGACUUCAACUUAAAACAUAUGAUAAUAAAUGGACUAAGCCAGUAAAGUUUUAUAAGUGUAAACCUAAGAAUAUAUUCUUUAAUGGCUGCUAUGAAAUAUGCUGGAAUCGGGCCAGGAUAUUAACACACAUUCUGGCCAACACAUCAGGCUUUUGGUUAUUUGAGAAAAGCAAUAGAGGCAGGGAGCUCCCCAUCGGAGCUGUCCUCGCUGCAUUCACACCCACAGUCAUGAAUGAAUGAUCACUGUGAACCCAGCAUGGCACCUAAUGCUCCAGACACAGAGAUGGGAAGUUUCUUAAGAUGCUCACCAUUAGCUACCAAAAAAUGUUUUAAAAACAUCAAUCGCAAUGUGUAAUAGGAGGCUGCAAGGGAAAGCAGGAUUGGGAAUGACUUCUAUAAGAGGCUGAAAAGUCUCUUUGCAUCAAAGAAUGAACCCAGGAGACCAAAGUUGCAGUGAGCCUUGAUUGCACCAGCCUGGGCAAUAGAGCGAGACUCCCAUCUCAAAAAAAAAAAAAAAAAAAAAAAAAAAAAAAAAAAAACCUGUUGCCAGAAGCUCAUCAUCUUGCAUGCUAUGGUUUGUACCAAUGGGUAGGUGCAGCUAUCUAGGUACCUAUGUGCUCUCCAGUUUGCUACCGUGCCCACCUAUCUUCCUGCAAAAGGUAGAAAUAAAUAGCUAACUGACUACAACCCAAACACUAGGAAAGAGGGAGUCAUUUCAUUUUACCAAGGGUGGGAUAAGGUGGUGCCAAGCAUUUGUUGAAAGCAUUUGGCUUGAUGACACCACUUCCAACCUCACUCCACCCCUAUAUUAUUGGCUGUGUGGCCAAGCUAUGGCUCUUAGGACAAAAUCAGAAAUCUAGUUUUAUUUUGUUUUAGGGGGUCUGGGAUUGGGAGCUUCAUUGAAAGUUUUUUGUGAUGUAAAAAGAAUGACUUUACCCAUAAUCCCCAUGUUUCAAAGGAAGAAAAAAAAAAGAAUGACGUACCUGCCGCAAACCCUCCCUGCAGUCACUCUCCCCCCCCCAACCCCCAUCUUUUUUCUUUUUCUCUCUUUUUGGCUUAUAUGGAGACAUGAGCAGGAGCCAUGGCAGCUAUCUUGCAACCACAAGUAAAAGGCUAAGGAAACUGCAGAAAUAACCCUGGCAUCAGAAUGUCUGCAUUCUAAAGUCACAGUAACCCUGACUGCUAAGCCAACACCAGUACCUGCCACCUCUUGAUGUCUUGUUACAUAGAAAAGAAUCUUCCCAGAUGUGUUUAGACCACAGUGGUUGGUGCAGCCAAAUGCAUUCCUCAGUGACACAUUUUCUAAGGAGUCUAUCUCAUGCUUUAACUCCACGAGUCAAAUGUUUACAGCGGUCCCUUACUGAUGAUGAAGUCCAAACUCUUUUGACUUUGUAGUUAGUCUGACUUCUCCCUUCC